AACGAACGCUGGCGGCAGGCUUAACACAUGCAAGUCGAACGCCCCGCAAGGGGAGUGGCAGACGGGUGAGUAACGCGUGGGAAUCUACCCAGAACUUCGGAACAACUGAGGGAAACUUCAGCUAAUACCGGAUACGCCCUACGGGGGAAAGAUUUAUCGGUUUUGGAUGAGCCCGCGUUGGAUUAGCUAGUUGGUGGGGUAAUGGCCUACCAAGGCGACGAUCCAUAGCUGGUCUGAGAGGAUGAUCAGCCACACUGGGACUGAGACACGGCCCAGACUCCUACGGGAGGCAGCAGUGGGGAAUAUUGGACAAUGGGCGAAAGCCUGAUCCAGCCAUGCCGCGUGAGUGAUGAAGGCCUUAGGGUUGUAAAGCUAAUUCAGUAGGGAAGAUAAUGACGGUACCUACAGAAGAAGCCCCGGCUAACUUCGUGCCAGCAGCCGCGGUAA
rnacentral:rRNA from 1 species